rnacentral:rRNA from 1 species
GUGUCAGCCGCCGCGGUAAUACGAAGGGGGCUAGCGUUGUUCGGAAUUACUGGGCGUAAAGCGCGCGUAGGCGGGUGACUAAGUCAGGGGUGAAAUGCCGAGGCUCAACCUCGGAACUGCCUUUGAUACUGGUCGCCUGGAGUUCGGGAGAGGUAAGUGGAAUUCCGAGUGUAGAGGUGAAAUUCGUAGAUAUUCGGAGGAACACCAGAAGCGAAGGCGGCUUACUGGCCCGAUACUGACGCUGAGGCGCGAAAGCGUGGGGAGCAAACAGGAUUAGAAACCCUCGUAGUCC